AUGGCUUUGAAACUUUUAUAUCUUGUUCAGUAUUAUAGUCUCUAUCAAUAGGCAAGAGUACAUAACUCUGUCAUCUUUUUUGGCUGAAUUAUGGCCCUUUUUGAACUUGGAAAUUGGUUCUGUUUUGGUAUAUGUCCAUGUUUUGUCGAGACUAUAAAAUUAUUUUGACAUAUGGCUUUUAAACUUUAAACUUUUGUUUAUCAUUAUGAUUUCCAUCUGUAGGCAAGAGUACAUAACUCUGACAACUAUUUUGGCUGAAUUAUGGCUCUUUUUUCGACUUCGAAAUUUUUGUCAGAACUAUUUGAACUGUGGCUUUGAAACUUUUAACACUAAUAUAUCAACAUGAUUUUCAUCUGUAGGCAAGUGUACAUAACUCUGUCAACUAUUUUGACUGAAUUAUGACCCUUUUUGGACUUGGAAAUUAGUUAAAUUUUUCAUACAAGUCCAUAUUUUGCCUAACAUAUAACUUAAUAACAUAUUUGCCAUCAUGGUCACACAUUGCCAUUUAGUGCAAGACUAAUCGAAAUCCACAAAUACAGGAACAUUUUUUGCUGAAUCCAUUUUUUUCUUUUGUCUGAAAAUCUAUGGAAGUAUUUUGACCCCAUUCUUCAAUCAAUUCUUUGAAUAGUCGAGCGCGCUGUCAUCCGACAGCUCUUGUUCACUUCACGAAUUGGUCUGAAAAGUCAAAAAUCGGUCCAAAACCGACAAACCGGCAAAUUUCCGAAGCCCUGAUUACAUGUACAUUUCUCUGUAUGAUCAAUUCAGACAUUACUCAACAUAAAAUGAAUAAAAAAAAGUGUUCAUUUUUUAGCUCACCUGUCACGAAGUGACAAGUUGAGCUAUUGUGACCGCUUGAUGUCCGAUGUCCAUCGUGCGUAGUGUGUUGUGCGUCAACAAUUUCUAAAAAAAUCUUCUUAUUAAAAACCACUGGGCAGAAUUACACCAAGCUUCACAGGAAUGAUCCUUGGGUGGCCCCCUUUCAAAAUUGUUCAAAGAAUUGAAUUCCAUGCAGAACUCUGGUUGCCAUGGCAACCGAAAGGAAAAACUUUAAAAAUCUUCUUGUCCGAAACCACAGGGCCUAGGGCUUUGAUAUCUGGUGUGUAGCAUCAUCUAGUGGUCCUCUACCAAGAAUAUUCAAAUUAUCCCCCUAGGGUCUAAUAUGGCCCCGCCCCAGGGGUCUCAUGGUUAAUAUAAACUUAUAUAGGGAAAACUUCACAGGAAUGAUCCUUGGGUGGCCCCCUUUCAAAAUUGUUCAAAGAAUUGAAUUCCAUGCAGAACUCUGGUUGCCAUGGCAACCGAAAGGAAAAACUUUAAAAAUCUUCUUGUACAAAACCACAUGGCCUAGGGCUUUGAUAUUUGGUAUGUAGCAUCAUCUAGUGGUCCUCUACCAAGAUUGUUCAAAUUAUCCCCCUAGGGUCAAAUGUGCCCCGCCCCGGGGGUCCCAAGUUUUCCAUAGACUUAUAUAGGAAAAAAGUUUAAAAAUCUUCUUGUCUGAAACCACAACACUUAGACCUUUGAUAUUUGGUUUUUAGCAUUGUGUUAUGGUCCUCAACCAAAAUUGUUCAAAUUGUACCUCUUGGGUGAAAAGAGGGCCUGCCCUGGGGGUCCCAAGUUUUAUAUAGACUUACAUAGGAAAAAGCUUUAAAAGUCUUCUUGUCUGAAACCAUACGACCUAGGCUUUUGAUAUUUAGUAUGAUGCAUUGUCUAGUAGUCCUGUACCAAAAUUUUUCAAAUUAUGCCCCUGUGGUUAAAAGAGGCCCUGCCCUGGGUUCACUUAGUUAUUAUGUGAGUUAUUAUUAUAGGAAAAAUACUUAAAAAAUCAUCUGAUCCUAUUUCCAAGACUGUUUAAUUAUAAUUACCUGAUGACCCCAAGUAAUAUGAUGUCACUUGACUGUGACCUUGACCUACUGACCUACUUUCUUGUUUUUGUGCCCCACCAUGAGUAUUUGAUAUAAAUUAAUGAAACCUUGCAUGAGUCUUUAUCAUGAUAUGAAAUAGCGCACCUUCUAUUUUUCAUCUGGCUCCGUCCCCUAAUUUUAGAGUUAUGGCCCCUGAAAUAGUCAAAAAUGCACAUUUUCACCUUGUGACACGCCUAGCUCAAAAAGUAUUAGAUAUAGAUUCAUGAAACCUUGCAUGAGUCUUAAUCAUGAUAUGAACUUGCGCACCUCCUAUUUUUCAUCUGGGUUUGCCCCCUAUUUUUAGAGUUAUGGCCCCUGAAAUAGUCAAAAAUGCACAUUUUCACAUUGUGACACGCCUAGCUCAAAAAGUGUUUGAUAUAAAUUGAUGAAACCUUACAUGAAUCUUUAUCAUGAUAUGAACUUGCGCACCUUCUAUUUUUCAUCUGGGUUCGCCCACUAUUUCCAGAGUUAUGGCCCCUGAAAUAGUAAAAAAAUGCAGUUUCACCUAAUUAUGUGCCUCACUAAAAAAGCAUUUAAUGUAAAUUUAUGAAACCUUGCUUGAGCCUUUAUCAUAAUGUGAUCUUGCACACUUGGCCAUUCUUCUUGAGAAUUUCAGCAUUUAUUACAGUGUUAAGGCCCUUGAAAUAGCCAAAAUAGUGGAUUUUUUGUUUGUGAUGCUCAUAGCUCAAAAAGUGUAUGGUAUAGAAUAAUGAAUCCAUUUCAUUUUUUUUUUGAGGCUAUACCCUAUUAAGACUGCAAACAUUUGAAUGAUUUCCCCUUAUUUGUGACAAAUGUACCAGUGGGGGGGCACACCCAGUGUCCUGCAGACACAUUCUAGUUUAAGAUACAGUCUUGAAUUUUUGAUGACAUACACAGUUUUGCACACAAAUCGUAAAACUGAAUUUCAUUGACCAUGAAUGUGACCUACUGACUUUCUUAAUAUUUUAUCAUCAGUUUGACAUUUGAAACAUGUAGCUCAUAUUACUCAGGUGAGCGAUCCAGGGUCAUCAUGACCCUCUUGUUUGUCAUAUUUUAUUGUCUUAUUUUUAUUAGCUCACCUGAGCACAAAGUGCUCAAGGUGAGCUUUUGUGAUGACCCUGUGUCCGUCGUCCGUCCGUCGUCAGUCGUCAACAGUUUGACUGUUAACACUCUAGAGGUCACAAUUUUGGCCUAAUCUUAAUGAAACUUGGUCAGAAUGUUACCCUCAUAAAAAUCUUGGACGAGUUCGAUAUUGGGUCAUCUGGGGUCAAAAACUAGGUCACCAGGUCAAAUCAAAGGAAAAGCUUGUUAGCACUCUAGAGGUCACAAUUUUGGCCCAAUCUUAAUGAAACUUUUUUUUUUUUAUUUCAGCCCACAAGGGGCCCAUUUAUUAUCCCCGUCCAUGAUGUGAUGGGGUCGGGGACCCAUCCCGCAUCACAUCUUACAGACAUAAUAUAAACAUAGAUAUAAGUUAAAACAAAUUUCAGAGCAUAGUAUAUACUUAGUGUAGUAACAAUGUUAUCAAACUAUUCAAUACCUAGUUCACAAUGAUUUAUAAAUCGGUUUAACUACAAUACCUAGUUCACAUAGGUUAAUCAAUAUAUUUAAUGCCUUGUUCAAAAGGAUUAAUCUUACAAAAUAGUUCUAAAAAUUUUCAAUCCUAGAAACAGGGGAUUUUUUAAUAGAGAGAGAGAGGUAUUAUCAAGCAGCUUAUUUAUCUGUCAUAAAACAGACCAAAAUGGAUGUCAAUAUGUAAUUUUUAAGCCAGUCUUAUUAUUUCUCUUAGUCUAUAAGCCUCUCAUUAGAGAACAAGAGGUCCCAAACAGAGAAAGAAAAGGAAAAAAGGGCCUCUGCCAAUCUUAAUGAAACUUGGUCAGAAUGUUACCCUCAAUAAAAUCUUGGAUGAGUUCGAUAUUGGGUCAUCUGGGGUCAAAAACUAGGUCACCAGAUCAAAUCAAAGGAAAAGCUUGUUAACACUCUAGAGGUCACAAUUUUGGCCCAAUCUUAAUGAAACUUGGUCAGAAUGUUACCCUCAAUAAAAUCUUGGACAAGUUCGAUAUUGGGUCAUCUGGGGUUAAAAACUAGGUCAUCAUGUCAAAUCAAAGGAAAAACUUGUUAACACUCUAGAGGUCACAAUUUUGGCCCAAUCUUAAUGAAACUUGGUCAGAGUGUGACCCUUAAUAAAAUGGUGAUCUCAAAGUCCAGUUUGAAUCUGGGUCAUGUAGGGUCAAAAACUAGGUCACCAGGUCAAAUAAAAGGAAAAGCUAGUUAACACUCUAGAGGCCACAUUUAUGACCAUAUCUUGAUGAAACUUGGUCAGAAUGUUAAUCUUGAUGAUCUAUAGGUCAUACUUAAAUCUGGGUCAGGUGGGAUCAAAAUCUAGGUCACCAGGUCAAAUCAAAGGAAAAGCUUGUUAACACUCAAGAGGCCACAUUUAUGACUGUAUCUUUAUGAAACUUAGUCAGAAUGUUAAUCUUGAUGAUCUUUAGGUCUGGUUUGAAUCUGGGUCAUCUGGGAUCAAAAACUAGGUCACCAGGUCAAAUCAAAAGAAAAGCUUGUUAACAUUAUAGAGGCCACAUUUAUGAUUAUAUCUCCAUGAAACUUGGCCAGAAUGUUAAUCUUGAUGAUCUUUAGGUCAAGUUUGAAUCUGGGUCAUAUAGGGUCAAAAACUAGGUCACCAGGUCAAAUCAAAGGAAAAGUUAGUUAACACUUUAGGGGCCACAUUUAUGACCAUAUCUUAAUGAAACUAUCUUGAUGAUCUUUAGGUCAAUAGAUCAGGUGAGCGGUACAGGGCCUUCAUGGCCCUCUUGUUGUGCAUGCUACAGACAAAUAGUUUUGGCAUUUUGUGUGAAAUGUCCUUAUAGACAUAUACAAUGUAUAUAAAAAAUAAAUGUUUACCUGAUAUUUAGAUUCUUUGUUUCAUGUCAUUUAAUUCGAAUACCCAUGUGUUGGGAUAAAAAUCAGUCAUCAUGAAAUAAUGAUUUUCAUAAAUUUUUUCCAUGUUUCUCGACUUAGAAUUUUUUACUGCUUCCCACCUUACAACUGGAAUGAAAUUUUCUAAGUCCAGCUUUCACAGAAAAAGCUUACGCAAGCUUGCAAAUAAAAAAGCUUGCACAAGCUUGCAGAAUUCUGUAUGUAAAUAAACGCAAGCUUGCAGUAGUCAUGAUCAGCAUUUACAAGUUUGUCACAAGCUUGCAAGCAUUCAUUUUGGUUUGGGAUUGCUCAGGUGAGCAAUUCAGGGUCAUCAUGACCCUCUUGUCAUGUAUGGCAUGUAACAUAGAUAGCUUACUUUUAUAGAAAUAUGAGAAAAUCAAAGAAAACAAUUACAGGACUGUUAGAUGCAUGACUGUGUUAUCAUGUAUAGCAGGUAACAUAAGGUAAUCUGGCCGAAUAUAGGUCGCACUCGUGUAUAGGACGCAGUGAAAAAAUAUCAGCAGAAUUCUGGAAAAAUGCUUAUACCCACUUAUCACUUAUCCGAAUUUAUGUUUGUCCGAAAUUCCCUAUAGUUUUUAUGAACUCGCCAGUCAUUGUCGAUGUUUUUGGAUGUUGUGGCAAGUAUUUAAAUUGAAAAGUAUAAACUCUUUGUAAGCACUAAACUGCCGCAUCCUCUGACCACUCCAUGAAUAUUGACGCCAGUGAAAACGCAAGUACACUUUGGCAGGUGGCGGUAAAAUGAAGUAAUUUUAAGACUGGUUUGCAAAUUGUUUUGAACAUUACGGAUCAACAACUAUGAUCAUAUUGGAUCAGUCUAAAAUCUGGCAUGCACAUGUUUACAGUUGCCUCCGGGUAUGAUUAAACGGUUAAUUGUUUGCAGAUUGUGACAGUAGGUGUAAGAUAGUAAUGCUUCGGGCUUGAAUUUCUCGAUGAACAAGAGGAUUAUAGACAACUAUCAAAAUUAUGUUUGAAGAUUAGAUAAUCGAUUUCCGGACUACCUGAUAUUUGAGUAUUUUAAUGCAAAAUAUGUGAAAACACGCAGAGAAAGUUUUACACAGGUCUUGUUAAAAACUUAAUGAUCAGUUACAGAAAUGCGUUGUAAAAUAUAUUUUAAUGAAAAACAGCAUUUAUUUAUCUUUUUACUUCUAAAUUUUACAUUUUAUACAAAAGUAAUUUAAGACGCCGGGUCCCGAUACUGGCUAUAAGCUAUGCCCGAGUCAUUGGUAUUUACUCCCCUUGAAUUCUCUUCAAUAUAGAGGUAUGCAGGGUAAACAAAGAUCGAUUUUCUUAAUUUUUGAGUCGGGGGGAAAUGUUUGGUCUUUUUCUAUCCCCAUAUAUAGGACGCAUCAGUCCUUCGAGACCAGAAUCUCGUAAAAAAAUGUGCGUCUUAUAUUCGUAGGAUGACGGUAGAUAGCUUACUUUUCUAUUGCACUGGUAUAACAUGGACAUGAUUAUGAUUCAUCAUUGUUGUUCCUUCUCUUGAGAACACUUAGGGCCGGUAAGUCACACUUGACUGAGCAAUUGACCUCUAAAGCUGUUGUCUUUAUUAGCUGGCCAAUCAAACUCUGUGACCUUAGAAAUAACCUCUGACGUUAAACUUUUCUUCCUAAUUGAGGCGACUAUUUGACUGAACGUGCUCCGCGGAUUACAUGUUACUAACCAGAGGAUGAUUGAUUGAUUCUUUUAUUUCCUCCAUUCUUGAAGAGUAUAACAAAUGUACAGACAGAUAGACAUACAUCAGCAAAUUUACUAUUGUUACCUUCAAAUGCAUGGUCAAUAUGUGAAAACAGACCCCAUUGCGACCCUCUAAUUAUGCGCAACAGAUUCACGCAUUGAAUAGUACACUACAUGUGGAAAUGGAUUGACCGGGUCAAAGUGUACCUAUACACACUGGAUAACCAGCUAUCCUGAAGCCCGCUGGAAAUGUAACCCAGCUGUAAAUCAGUAGCUUUCGCAGAUGCGGUGGUUCCAACGCAGCGGCGGUGGAGGAUUCGUCGCAGAAGCGGUGGAGAAAUAUGGCCGUCUAGCUUUAUUUUCACUGUCAACGGUCUGUAAUUUAUCGUAGCUUUAUGAUAGAAUGUAGAUCCCCUCACGUCAGGAAAAUCACUUCCUUAGUUAUUUGUGAACACAUAACAAACACACCGGCCGUCAGGUACAAAAUGCAAUGUGUUAUUGAAUGCGUAGACGUAGCAGAUGCGGAUGGUUUCGGUUUUAUUUGUUAGUUUGCUGUUGUGUCAACAUUCCUUUUGGAGAACAGGAUAAUCGUCAUGGACAGCCAUGCUUAUGUAGAAUGUGGAAAGACAUUUGUGUCCGACAAGUGUUUAAAAGUACACUCCAAGAGUCAUCAAGGAAUAAAGCCUCAUAAGUGUGAAAUCUGUAACAAAAGGUUUGUCAGAAAAGAUGUCUUUAAUAACCACAUAAAAGCGCACAACACUUUAGAUCCAUCAUUCAUGUGCCAAACUUGUGGAAGGUUCUUUACCAGGAAAUCGUGUCUGGACAGACACACACAUUCACACCAGCCACAUAAAAUGCAUGAAUGCAAUGCAUGCAAAAAAGUAUUCCCAUCAAAGUCAUCUCUAAAUAAACAUUCAAGGACACACGAGGAAAAGAAGGAGUGCCAAAAAUGUAAAAAGUCAUUCUUUCACCAAGAUGAUCACGUCAGACAUUGUGGGAAUGAUCCCAGAUACUUCACAUGUGACAUAUGCAGGAAAAGGUUCAAGCAAAGGCGCUAUCUGUCUCAGCAUAUUAGAUGUGUGCACAAUGAGCCGGAACAGUACGAAUGUCAGAAAUGUGGAAACAAAUACAGCCACAGGGCUUCUCUGCACUAUCAUAAGAAACGCUGCACUUAAGAUUUGAUCAUGCCGCAAGAUGGAGAAAAGGCGUAUUGUUUUAGUCUAUCAGUCUGUUGGCCAUGUAGUUAAACUUCUAUAUUUGCAGUAAUGAUUGGUGGACUUUGAUAACCUGCAGACCAAACUCAUACACGACGUCUUAACAUAAAUAUAUGUUACUAGCCAAUGUUUUUGCACAUAUAUGUACUCUUGUUAGGUAAAAUAUACUUCAUUUUUUAUCUCUCAGACCUUAAAACGAAGAAAAGUAAUUUAUCAAACAAAGUAUGUAAUGUUUGUGUAUGUAGUGUUUUUUUCCAGAUAAUACUAAAUAUCAUUAACAUAUAAGAUAUACGCUCGCAACAGUUGAAACUGCCAAUUGAGAAAUCAGUUUACUGUUUUCCCUACUUCCAAAACGGGAAUCUUGUACGUAGAUGUAGUCACUUGUUUCCGCUCAGAAAGCAAAGUCCAUAGAGUGUAUGGGAAAACCAUUGACAAUAUUUUCGCGAACACAAUAUUUUUGGCAAUGUAGGUUUCAUCAAAACGUUUCCCAGACUAGAUAUUUUCUGACAUAUUUGCAUAUGAUAGUGAUUCGCGUAUCUCAAGCCAAAUGUAAGACACAUUUUUGAUUUUUAGCUCAUCUGAUUUUUUGAAAAAAAAUGAUGAGUUAUUGUCAUCACUUGAGCGGUUGUCGGCGUCGGCGUCGGCGUCGGCGUUGCCUGGUUAAGUUUUAUGUUUAGGUCAGCUUUUCUCCUAAACUAUCAAAGCUAUUGCUUUGAAACUUGGAAUACUUGUUCGCCAUCAUAAGCUGACCCUGUAUAGCAAGAAACAUAACUCCAUCUUGCUUUUUGCAAGAUUUAUGGCCCCUUUUGUACUUAGAAAAUAUCAGAUUUCUUGGUUAAGUUUUAUGUUUAGGUCAACUUUUCUCCUAAACUAUCAAAGCUUUUGCUUUGAAACUUGGAAUACUUGUUCACCAUCAUAAGCAGACCCUGUACAUCAAGAAACAUAACUCCAUCUUGCUUUUUGCAAGAAUUAUUGCCCCUUUUGGACUUAGAAAAUCAGUUUUCUUGGUUAACUUUUAUGUUUAGGUCAGCUUUUAUCCUAAACUAUCAAAGCUAUUCCUUUAAAACUUGCAACACUUGUUCACCAUCAUAAGCUGACCCUGUACAGCAAGAAACAUAACUCCAUCCUGCUUUUUGCAAGAUUUAUGGCCCCUUUUGGACUUAGAAAAUAUCAGAUUUCUUGGUUAAGUUUUAUGUUUAGGUCAACUUUUUUCUUUAAACUAUCAAAGCUAUUGCUUUAAAACUUGCAACUCUUGUUCACCAUCAUAAGCUGACCCUGUACAGCAAGCAACAUAACUCCAUCCUGCUUUUUGCAAUAAUUAUUGCCCCUUUUGUACUUAGAAAAAUCAUUUUCUUGGUUGAAUAUUAUGUUUAAGUCAACUUUUCUCAUAAACUAUCAAAGCUAUUGCUUUAAAACUUGCAACAGUUUUUCACCAUCAUAAGUGGACACUGUACAUCAAGAAACAUAACUCUAUCCUGCUUUUUGCAAGAGUGAUGGCCCUUUUUAGACUUAGAAAAUCAUGGGUAGGACAAUAUUUCUAUUAUAAAAAAAAAAUCAGAUGAGCGUCAGCACCCGCAAGGCGGUGCUCUUGUUUUACAUGUUUUAUCGUUUGAUGUCGUAUUAUAAUCUAGAAAGAUAGUAACAUUGCUGUUGUAACACAUUUACACACCAGUUGCCAUUGAUUCAUAAAAUGAGCCGUGCCAUAACAAAACCAACAUAGUGGGUUUGCGACCAGUAUGGAUCCAGACCAGCCUGCGCAUCCGCGCAGUCUGGUCAGGAUCCAUACUGUUCACUUUCAACCCUACUGCAAUUAGAGAAACCGUUUGCGAACAGCAUGGAUCCUGACCAGACUGCACAGAUGUGCAGGCUGGUGUGGAUCCAUGCUGGUCACAAAGCCACUAUGUUUGUUUUCUCAUGGCAUGGCUCAAAUGAUUUUCAUUUCCAUCAGCUGAAUCAAGGUUUUAUUCUACUUUAAGCUAUCACUUCCGGUUUAACAACUGUGCAGAACUACCUUAACACAGUGUUGACCACAAUGUACACAACAGCGUCUUUUAGAAUGGGCGACAUCGGAUCAUUUUGUGUUUCUACUGAUUUGAAAAUAGAUGCCUGUUUUCUAUAUUCAGCAAUAGCAGACUUUCAUCAUUGUUUCUCCGAAGGCCUGAAAAAAAUGUUUCCGGUAACAUGCUUCAUAAAUUAGGGCAGGUAGGGCAGGUAGAAAUGAGUUUUUAAAAUUCGUUUUAUUAAUUGAGAUUUUUUUUUUUUUUUUUGAAAAUAUUUUUUGUGUCAAAAAUGAAUACAGAUAAGGGGGUAAUGCCUUAAAAGCAUCCAUAAGUUGAUUUUCAACAUCAGUGACCAUGUUUAAAGCAUGAAAGUGCAGUUCUCCCCCAGGGCCAUAAAACAUUUAGGGUCGGGCCAAAAACUUAGGGUAGAUCGAGAUACCGGAAUCAAUCAUUUUUAUACGCUUAAAGUAAAAAUGACGAGAAGUCAUUUAAUUCAAGUUUCGUUUUAUUGUCCAAUAUUAUAUAAAAGAGACACUGUAUCAAUUUGUUUUCAUGUUCACCAUAAUGAAUGUAUUAAGGACUGAUUUUGAACUAGCAUUAUACCAAAGGUAGAGAUGAAAAUUUGCAAUUCUGUCCAUUUUGUAAGAAAAUACAUUUUAACAAGUGUGUUAUUGCAUUGUACCUUAUACUCCAGAGAAUAAGAUUUUGGCCAGAACAUGUUUUAUUAAAAAUUGAUACUGAAUGAACAUUACUAAAAAUAAAUGUUUUAUACAUUUCAAAUGAUAGUUUUUUCUUCUAGGAUUAUUAUAACAGUAGCUAGAUCUGGGAUGCUGUAUUCAGCUCGAGUGAAUUUUUGCCAGAUUGGAUCUCACGAGGCGAGGAAGAGUCUAGUGUGAUCCAAGCUUGCAAAUUCACUGAGAGCCGAAUGCAAAAUCCAAGAUCUAGCUACUGUUAUAAUGACUUUUAUUAUAGUCCUAUUUAAAUUCUGUAAAAAAUACCGACAUGUAUUUCACAAUUAGAUAUAAAGUGGUGAAAAAAUUAUUGUACAUUUAAAAUUCCGUAUUGUUCCUUCCGUAUUGCAUGCUGCCGAACUACUUUCUUUAAAAUGCAUGACCUGGCAGACACAGUUUUAUAUAGCUGAAAUAUAAUCUUCACUUAGUUCCAUUUUAAUACCGACAUUGAGUUUUUGCGCGCGCUAUUUAUAGAACUGUGUCAGGUUGCUAGUUCAUAAUUGGUCAUCAUCUUAAUUAAUAUUUUUAAUCAUCAGUAUCCGACGUUUGAUUUCGCUGAUUAGCUAUAAACCAGAGCAUGGUUAUGUUUGUAAUCAGUGUUGAAAUGUUAUGCAAAGUUUGUUAAAAAAACACGUGCGUAAAUUGUCAUAAAUCAGUGCUGAGACUUUUCGCCACAGAACUGAGGAGCGGAGUCCGUACAGUCUUGCUAGGAUCCAUGCUGGUUGCUUUCAAAGCCUCUGUUAGCGAACCGCAUGGACCCUGACCAGACUGUACUAUGUUGGUUUUCUUAUGGCGCGGCUCAUUUCAUGAGGACCAUUCCACUCCGUGUCAACGCUAACUUCCACGCGUUCGCGAUGACUUUUCUAGUCUUACUACGCGGUGUUCAUCUUUACAGUUCGCGGAAUGCUAGAUGAUAUGUCACAAGAUCACAAUGGAGGUACGCGAUAUCAUUUCGCAAUCACGAUUGGUCUAAUAUCUUGCGAUUUGCGAUCUUGAUUUUCGUGUUUAGUCAUCGAGAUCUGAAGCUUCGUACGGAAAUUUGGAGAAUUGGCGAUUGUCUUUGAUAAAGGAAUAUUAUAUUUAAAUGUUCAUAUUUGGUAAAUUCCUGUAGAUUGCAUUAUAAAAGAAUUUUGACCGUUAUGUCUCAUUUUUGUUAUUUUUUUUCUGUAAUCCGACAUAUUCUAGUCAGUGUAGAUAUCACGGAUUAAUGCGAGUUUUUCUAUUGUAAAAUGGUUGACUAAUUAUUUUGAAAGCUCACUUGUGUGUUUUAUUCUCUAAUGAAACUAAAUAAACCAGUUUAUAAACAUUCAAGUUUUAUGUAUUUUCUUUUGCCUUUCAGAAGAAUACUAACACAUGCUUUAAUUCUGACCCUCUGUCUCGUAAUUUACAACUAAAAGUAUUUAUUUCAGCUUGUCCAUUUAUUGUUCAGAUUUAAACGUUAAAUAGUUACAGCCGAAAAUAAAAAAAAAUAACAAAAAAAAACAAAAAACAAAAAAAAAACAACAA